AAGAGGCAUCCAGAGCUUGCAGGAUCUUCAAAAACAGGCACACUUGGAUUUGGUCUGCAAACCUGAUUUUGCCCACCCUUGCUCUAGGCCAACAGAGAAAGCACAAUAUGGAGGCGCUUUGAUUCCCAGAAAAUAGACUUUCAAAGGAUAAACCAGCUUGCUGUUGGGGUUAUUUUCAUCACUCCAAGGGAGGGACCUUAUACGAGAUGGAUUCAACUCAGGUGUAUUCCAGAAAAUAAAUGAAGAAGGGGUGCUAGAAUCUGGAAGGCAUCGUUUUGCAACAUUGAACAUACCAGUGGAUUUCAGCAAUGAUCAUCAACAGCUGCCAACAUCACAAAAAGAGGGACAACCUGACAUGAAGCGCCUCUUGAAGGAAGUUCACAACACCUCCUAUGAAGUCGUCUUGUCCCCCCCAGUCCCUGGCCAAAAUCAAAUCAAAAUCUGACAGUGCCUCUAAAUCUAGCUACCGGUUUACAGAAGUACAGACAACAGAGGAACAUAUGCAGAGACACCACAGAGACACACUCAGCAAAAUCCAGACGGUGGGGUUUUUGCCAGACUGACAACCCAAUUGAUUCUUCAAAAAUUCAUUUCAAAGGAAAGAAGAAACUGUGACAGAGGCUGAACCUAUAGAUUAAAAGGGACUUAAGAGGGGCGCCCGGGUAGCUCAGCCAUUAAGCAUCUGCCUUCGGCUCAGGUCAUGAUCCCAGGGUUCUGGGAUGGAGCCCCGCAUCGG